UACGAAGCGGUCCAAACGUUAUUCGGAAUCACUGGGCUUAAAGCGUCCGUAGGCGGCUCGGAAAGUAGGGUGUGAAAUCCCACGGCUCAACCGUGGAAUUGCGCUCGUAAACUAUCGAGCUAGAGGGGGAUGAGAGGUGAGCGGAACUGAUGGUGGAGCGGUGAAAUGCGUUGAUAUCAUCAGGAACACCGGUGGCGGAAGGCGGCAUCCUGGACCGGUAUUGACGCUGAGGCGCGGAAA
rnacentral:rRNA from 1 species